AGAGUUUGAUCAUGGCUCAGGACGAACGCUGGCGGCGUGCCUAAUACAUGCAAGUAGAACGCUGAAGAGAGGAGCUUGCUCUUCUUGGAUGAGUUGCGAACGGGUGAGUAACGCGUAGGUAACCUGCCUUGUAGCGGGGGAUAACUAUUGGAAACGAUAGCUAAUACCGCAUAACAAUGGAUGACACAUGUCAUUUAUUUGAAAGGGGCAAUUGCUCCACUACAAGAUGGACCUGCGUUGUAUUAGCUAGUAGGUGAGGUAAUGGCUCACCUAGGCGACGAUACAUAGCCGACCUGAGAGGGUGAUCGGCCACACUGGGACUGAGACACGGCCCAGACUCCUACGGGAGGCAGCAGUAGGGAAUCUUCGGCAAUGGGGGCAACCCUGACCGAGCAACGCCGCGUGAGUGAAGAAGGUUUUCGGAUCGUAAAGCUCUGUUGUAAGUCAAGAACGGGUGUGAGAGUGGAAAGUUCACACUGUGACGGUAGCUUACCAGAAAGGGACGGCUAACUACGUGCCAGCAGCCGCGGUAAUACGUAGGUCCCGAGCGUUGUCCGGAUUUAUUGGGCGUAAAGCGAGCGCAGGCGGUUUGAUAAGUCUGAAGUUAAAGGCUGUGGCUCAACCAUAGUUCGCUUUGGAAACUGUCAAACUUGAGUGCAGAAGGGGAGAGUGGAAUUCCAUGUGUAGCGGUGAAAUGCGUAGAUAUGUGGAGGAACACCGGUGGCGAAAGCGGCUCUCUGGUCUGUAACUGACGCUGAGGCUCGAAAGCGUGGGGAGCGAACAGGAUUAGAUACCCUGGUAGUCCACGCCGUGAAACGAUGAGUGCUAGGUGUUGGAUCCUUUCCGGGAUUCAGUGCCGCAGCUAACGCAUUAAGCACUCCGCCUGGGGAGUACGACCGCAAGGUUGAAACUCAAAGGAAUUGACGGGGGCCCGCACAAGCGGUGGAGCAUGUGGUUUAAUUCGAAGCAACGCGAAGAACCUUACCAGGUCUUGACAUCCCGAUGCUAUUUCUAGAGAUAGAAAGUUACUUCGGUACAUCGGUGACAGGUGGUGCAUGGUUGUCGUCAGCUCGUGUCGUGAGAUGUUGGGUUAAGUCCCGCAACGAGCGCAACCCCUAUUGUUAGUUGCCAUCAUUCAGUUGGGCACUCUAGCGAGACUGCCGGUAAUAAACCGGAGGAAGGUGGGGAUGACGUCAAAUCAUCAUGCCCCUUAUGACCUGGGCUACACACGUGCUACAAUGGUUGGUACAACGAGUUGCGAGUCGGUGACGGCGAGCUAAUCUCUUAAAGCCAAUCUCAGUUCGGAUUGUAGGCUGCAACUCGCCUACAUGAAGUCGGAAUCGCUAGUAAUCGCGGAUCAGCACGCCGCGGUGAAUACGUUCCCGGGCCUUGUACACACCGCCCGUCACACCACGAGAGUUUGUAACACCCGAAGUCGGUGAGGUAACCUUUUGGAGCCAGCCGCCUAAGGUGGGACAGAUGAUUGGGGUGAAGUCGUAACAAGGUAGCCGU
rnacentral:rRNA from 1 species